rnacentral:tRNA from 1 species
GAGUGUGUGGUGUUAAUGGUAACACGUUGGUCUCCAAAACCAAAGUUUAGAGUUCGAAUCUCUACACGCUUGCCA